GGAAUCCACGAAUCGUUAUUCGUUUGUAGAUGACAUUUAGCAUGCUAGGCGCAGCUCGCUUUCCUCCAUCUGUGUACUCUGAAAUCACACCGCAUACUGCAACUCUCCCGAAUGUGUUCAUGUUGGCCACUGCAGCUUCUAGGGUUUCAGCACCUACGUUAUCAAAAUAUAUGUCUAUUCCUUCUGGAAAAUACCUUUUCAGU
rnacentral:misc_RNA from 1 species